CAAGUACACACGAAAUAACUAUAUGACAAUUUUAAAUGACAGAACGAAACCCUCAAUGCCAAGGUGUGGAGCACAGGGAUUCACAACAGCCCCUUAAAAUCAGGACUCUAGGGCCGGGCGCAAUGGCUCACACCUGUAAUCCCAGCAUUUUGGGAAUCCAAGGCAGGAGCAUCACUUGAGCCCAGGAGUUCGAGACCAGCCUGGCCAACACACUGUGGUCCUUCUUUGAGCACCUCCCCAGAACCUCUUAGGCUGUGGAGAGCACCAGGACUCCCUCAAGCCAAGCACUUGCCGAACAGCUGCUUUUCUCCCCGAGACCACGAGGACAGGCGGCACUCCCUCCG